rnacentral:rRNA from 1 species
AGUUUGAUCCAUGGCUCAGAUUGAACGCUGGCGGCAUGCCUUACACAUGCAAGUCGAACGGCAGCGCGGGAGCAAUCCUGGCGGCGAGUGGCGAACGGGUGAGUAAUACAUCGGAACGUGCCCAAUCGUGGGGGAUAACGCAGCGAAAGCUGUGCUAAUACCGCAUACGAUCUACGGAUGAAAGCAGGGGAUCGCAAGACCUUGCGCGAAUGGAGCGGCCGAUGGCAGAUUAGGUAGUUGGUGAGGUAAAGGCUCACCAAGCCUUCGAUCUGUAGCUGGUCUGAGAGGACGACCAGCCACACUGGGACUGAGACACGGCCCAGACUCCUACGGGAGGCAGCAGUGGGGAAUUUUGGACAAUGGGCGCAAGCCUGAUCCAGCCAUGCCGCGUGCAGGAUGAAGGCCUUCGGGUUGUAAACUGCUUUUGUACGGAACGAAACGGCCUUUUCUAAUAAAGAGGGCUAAUGA